rnacentral:rRNA from 1 species
UCGGGAAUUUUGGGCAAUGGGCGAAAGCCUGACCCAGCAACGCCGCGUGAGGGAUGAAGGCCUUCGGGUCGUAAACCUCUGUCGGGAGGGAAGAACUCUCCCGGGGUAAACAAUCCCGGGAGCUGACGGUACCUCCAAAGGAAGCGCCGGCUAACUCCGUGCCAGCAGCCGCGGUAAUACGGAGGGCGCGAGCGUUGUUCGGAAUCAUUGGGCGUAAAGCGCGUGUAGGCGGCUUGGUAAGUCGGAUGUGAAAGCCCGGGGCUCAACCCCGGAAUUGCAUUCGAAACUGCCUCGCUAGAGUCCCGGAGAGGAAGGCGGAAUUCUCGGUGUAGAGGUGAAAUUCGUAGAUAUCGGGAGGAACACCAGUGGCGAAGGCGGCCUUCUGGACGGUGACUGACGCUGAGACGCGAAAGCGUGGGGAGCAAACAGGAUUAGAUACCCCUGUAGUCC